AGCCGGCAAGCCGCUCCCACAACACACCCCGACCGCUCUGUCUGUUUGCUCAGGUGCCAAAGUAUGUUAAACCAACCAAGUCUCUUUAAAGCCGUUACAGUGAUUGUCUGCUGCAAACAACUAGUUCGGAAAAUAUAGCGUGUCCAUAAUUGAAGGUACGUCCACACGAUGCCUCAUUCCUCGUGCGCAGUCGCAGACGCACGGGAAUAAAAGAUACACCUCAUCAGAAACAACUAACAGGAAAAAGUAUUGAUCUUUGGAAACUUCAGCUACAGAUACACCUUGUCAGAAACAACUAAAAGGAAAAAGUACUGAACUUU